rnacentral:tRNA from 1 species
GUUAAUGUAGCUUAAUAUUAAAGCAAGGCACUGAAAAUGCCUAGAUGAGUUCUUCCCCACUCCAUAAACA